AUCAAAGCAGAGUACGUGGGGUCGAAAUAAACUGAAGACGGUAGCCACCUUCCACCGUGCUGAGGACCCAGCAGUCUGAUGUCAGCUGGGACCAAGCAGGGAAGAAAGCGGCAAGGCGACUGGCGAAGUGAGCGGGAUCGCUGGAGGAAAUUGGUACGGUGCUCU